AUUGAACGCUGGCGGCAUGCUUUACACAUGCAAGUCGAACGGUAACAGGGAGCUUGCUCCGCUGACGAGUGGCGAACGGGUGAGUAAUGCGUCGGAACGUGCCGAGUAGUGGGGGAUAACGCAGCGAAAGUUGUGCUAAUACCGCAUACGUACUGAGGUAGAAAGUGGGGGACCUUCGGGCCUCACGCUAUUCGAGCGGCCGACGUCUGAUUAGCUAGUAGGUGAGGUAAAGGCUCACCUAGGCGACGAUCAGUAGCGGGUCUGAGAGGAUGAUCCGCCACACUGGGACUAAGACACGGCCCAGACUCCUACGGGAGGCAGCAGUGGGGAAUUUUGGACAAUGGGCGAAAGCCUGAUCCAGCCAUGCCGCGUGUCUGAAGAAGGCCUUCGGGUUGUAAAGGACUUUUGUCGGGGAGGAAAUCCCCAGCGCUAAUACCGCUGGGGGAUGACAGUACCUGAAGGAUAAGCACCGGCUAACUACGUGCCAGCAGCCGCCGUAAUAC
rnacentral:rRNA from 1 species